rnacentral:rRNA from 1 species
UGAGGAAUCUUGCGCAAUGGGGGAAACCCUGACGCAGCCACGCCGCGUGAAGGAAGACGCUCCUAUGGGGUGUAAACUUCUUUUCUGCAGGAAGAACGCCCUCUUUGAGAGGGGAUGACGGUACUGCAGGAAUAAGGACCGGCUAACUCCGUGCCAGCAGCCGCGGUAAUACGGAGGGUCCAAGCGUUGUCCGGAAUUAUUGGGGUGUAAAGGGUGUGUAGGCGGGAUUGUAAGUCAGAGGUGAAAGGCAGCGGCUCAACCGUUGGAAUGCCUUUGAUACUGCAGUCCUUGAGUUCCGGAGAGGCCAUUAGAAUUCGUGGUGUAGCGGUGAAAUGCGUAGAUAUCACGAGGAAUACCAGAAGCGUAGGCGAAUGGCUGGACGGUGACUGACGCUGAGGCACGAAAGCGUGGGGAGCGAACAGGAUUAGGAUACCCGUGGUAGUCCACGCU